rnacentral:ncRNA from 1 species
ACUAAAGGAGAAUUUUCCAUUCCCUGUGUGCUUACCACCACUAGGCCAGUGCAACUGCAUAUGUCAAGAUUGUUCAUAUUGUAUAUUUAAGCCUAUAAAGCAACAUUUCAUGUACUUAUAUUGUAUAAUUUUCCGGCGAAGGGUGUUCAUCUGACCACCCUUGCUAUAAUAUAGCUCCGCCCCUGAAACCGGAAGCUAGGUUAUGGUACCAAAUUGCACGCUAAUCUAGAUCUCAUAAAGGGUGUUAGUCGAUUAAGACAGCAAGACGGUAGUCAUGGAAGUCGAAAUCCACUAAGGAGUGUUUAACAACUCACCUACCGAAUCAACUAGCCCUGAAAAUGGAUGGUGCUUAAGAGCGUGACCUACACUUGACCAUCGGGGCAAGUACUAGGUCUCGAUAAGUAGGAGGGCGUGGUGUUCGCUGUAAAACCUUGGGCGCGAGCUCGAGCGCGAGCGACCGUCAGUGCAGAUCUUGGUGGUAGUAGCAAAUAUUCAAAUGAAAACUUUGAAGGCCGAAGAGGGAAAAGAUUUCAUGUGAAUGGCACUUGCACAAGGGUUAGUUGAUCCUAAGGGUCGGGGGAACCCCAACAGAUAGUGCAUUUCGCGCUUUCUCCAAAAGGGAAUCGGGUUAAAAUUCCUGAACUAAGACGUGGUAGUCAACGACAACAUUAGAAAGUCCGGAGACAUCGGUGGGAGCCUCGGGAAUAGUUAUCUUUUCUGUUUAACAGCCUGCCCACCCUAGAAUUGCCUCAGCCGGAGGUAGGGUCCAGCAGCUGGAAGAGAACCGCACGUCGUGUGGUGUUCGGUGCACUCCUGGAGGCCCUUAAAAAUCUGGAGGAUCGAAUGCCAUCCAUUCCCAAUCCUACUCAUAAAUGCAUCAGGUCUCCAAGGUGACAGGAAUAGUC